AAAAAAUAUAAAAAUAAAAGCUCAUUUAAAAUAUUAAUAAAACUAAAACCAAAAUUAUAAUGACUCCGCUUGUAACCAAACAGUUCUUGGACCUAAUGGACUACAAUAGUAGACAAAAAAUGACAAUGGUAGUCAAAAGUGCCCCAGAACUGUUUGCUUUUCUUACAUUCUUAAAAAUAUCUUCUUUCGUGUUCAACAGAAAAGUUUAAGUUAUAAAGUAUUUUUUCCUACUAUGGGGUCUAAGAUCUGUUUGGUUUCAAGAAGUCUUCCAAAUAUCUUUCUCUGUGUUCAUAAGAACAAAGAAACUUAUACAGAUUUGGAACAACUGGAAGGUGAGUAAAUGAUGACAGAAUUUUCAUUUUUGGGUGAAGUGUCCCUUUAAUGCAUGAACCAUUUCAAUCCCAUUAAACUGCAUCCAGAGCAGUAAUGUCCCUACAUAAACGAGACAUUGUUUUCUCUCCUGUAGAUGAGAGUGCUGUAUGUACUGUAGGAGAAAGAAAAACAUCACAUCAACAUGAUGGUGUCUUUAAUUUAACACCCUGCUGAAGUCAGCUUGACAUCAGCUCCUGUUUCGCUUUCAGCGAGGUUAAACUGAUGACAGAAACACAAGGAGAGCUGUUUCACAUAAUCUCUCAUCAUUGCCCUGAGUUCAGAAGAAGAUGUAUCUAUGGUGAUGAGGAAUACAGGGUCAUGACGUCCCUAAAUCAAGCUCCCAUCUUCUACACUGUCGGUCAGGAACAUAACAGGAAAAACAAAACUAAGUUUUUAAGUGAUAGAUUCUGUCAUCAUUUAUUCCCCUCGAGUGUUUGUAAAUCUGUGUCUUUCUUCCGUGGAACACAAAAGAAGAUAUUUUGAGAAAUGUCUCAUGGUUUUGUGUUCAUACAAUGGAAGUCGGAGUUCAGUGUUGUUUGAUUAUCGACAUUCUUCAAAAUAUCUUCUUUUCUGUUCUGAAGACACGACACGAGAAUGAACAAAUGAAGAAAGAAUACUCAAAUUUGUCUGUUCUACCACUUUAAAUGUUGCUGGAUGGAUAGAGUUUGAAACAUGCGUCCUAAUGAAUGAGCUACAACUUUUCGACGACCAUUCGCCCUGAGAGCAGAUAAACAGGCAAGCGUUUCAAGCCAUCUCAACAUCCAUCUACUGUAUCCACUUGAUGCUUUUGCUGGUAGUUUAUGACGAACCAAUAGAGAGAGGACGCUCAGCUCUGCAGAAGAUGAAUGUUUCAAAUCAUCUCGCUCCGGACGACUCAAAGCAUGUCAUAAGUGAACAUCAUCAGUCUGAGCAUUGGGCUGCGUUAAAAACAUCUCUCAAUCACAGCUGCUCCUGGACUUCAUUCAUGUGUUCACUCUGCACUCAGACUCACUCAAAGAGAAAAAUAAUCUUCUUUAAUUGAAGAUUAAGCAUUUCACUCUUUGUUCAGGCCAAUGGUGAUACGUCUGAGCGGUCCCUGAGGUGAUAGCAAUGCAUUUCAGGUUGCAACAGGGAUAAACGGCUGAAAAUGAACAUGAAACUUAAAAAACAUAUUGUAAUGUAAAUUUCAUAUAAAUGUACAAAACCUCAACUCAGGCCUGUGAUUUUUUCCUCAGAUCAGUUUGUUUGGCGCUUGUUAGGUUUUAUCUGUUUGUUUGUGUCUCUUUAGCAGUGGUUCAAUCUUCAGGCCGGAGCUGACUGUGCCUCUCAAGCGGAGCGUGCGCGAGCUCCCCUCCCGCCUCCGGCACGCGCGCCUGUCUCUGCACAGCGCGACCCCGCCUCCUCUAUCAACAGCUACUAUAACUGACCCGAACUUCUCGCCCGAUCAGAAGACUCGAAUCGACCGAUGUGAACUCAUCCCGUGCUGUCAGAUCACCCCUGAUGAGAGUCUGAGGGUCUCGGGUGAGCAGGUGCACGAGUGUCCAAAUCUUGCCAGGUACAGGGAUGAUGAAGCCAUGGACUCUCUUCUGCCUUCUGCUGGCGAGAAUUGGAAAUGCAGUGUCCAGCAGUGAGCUGCAGUGCUCGGUGUGGCCAGUGGGGGCGCUGCAUCCGGUACAGGCUCAGCUCCAGCGCUUGGAAGCAGGGAUUGGCUGUGCUGCCAGGGAGGGCGGAGCUAUAGAGACCCAUGUGAUUUCAGCGGCCAAAUCCUCAAACACACAGGUGACUGUGCUGCUGAGAUCGUUGAACCUCUCUCGUCCAGUAAACCGGCCGGUGAUUCUGGUGCUGAGUUCCCAGAAUGCCGUGCGUUGGGUGGUAGAAAGUGAAGGGCUGCAACACAACAUUAAUCUGCUGAUACAGGUGUCUCAGAACUCCAGUGUGGUGUCUGUGAGCAUGUCCAUGCGUGUGGUGCGGGUGCCGUUUCUACCUCGACGUCCUGAAGUCCUGCUGCGUUGGGUUCUUCAGCGGCACACCUCCAUCUCUUCUCUCACACACAUCAUACACGCCAACCGUGUUUCUCUGAGUCUGGGAGAGGAUCCCAGCAUGCCGAGCGAGUGUCGUCUGCAGCCUCGCUCCAUGUCUGAGAAUUAUCAGGCGUCUGAGUUUCAGGAGCAGGAGGUGCACGGCUGCACGUCAUCCAGUGAAGCUGCAGACACAGAGGUUCAUAUCAUCAGACUGUGGUCCUCCGGCUCCUCUCUGUGUGGCUCUGUGCAGGUGAAGGUGUCUGUCUCUCUGCUGCCUCCAGUGUCUCAUUCAGGACAUCACAGAGUUGUUCUCAUCCUCAGCAGUGCUGCUUCAGUCAACUGGGCUUUAGUGGCUCCAGAGGUCAAAGGUCACAUCAGGGUCUAUUCGUCCAGCAGUGUAAGUCUGUACUCUGAAGGUCCUGACCUCACCAUGAGCAGCACUGUGACCUCUGACCUCCUCAACACCCCUGACCUCUUAGAAUGGGCCAGUCAGAAAAACCUUUCUGAAGUGACCUCAUAUACGGAGGCUGACCUGGCCAAUCGCUUUAUCAUCAAGUUAAAAGGAAACGGACGAGAUGCUGGUGCUGAUGUGAGUGGUUCAGAGAGCUGGAGGUUUUUUCAGGAUGAUGUAACUGUAGAGAGAAUCAGAGAGGCGGUCAGCUGUCAGUGUGAGGAUGAGGCUCUUACUGUUACCGUGGAUACACACACGCUACAGCCGAUGUCUGUGAUGAGCGUGAGUCUGCGUGACCGCCGCUGUAGGGCGGAGUUUAACGGGACUCACUUCCUGUUAGAUUUUCCUCUCAUUUCCUGUGGCACUGAGGGAGAGAUGGAUGGGGUGAAUGGAAGAGUGCGUUACACAAACACGGUGUUUCUAUGGAAACCAUCGGAGAUGUACAACGAGACUGUUGAGAUGAAUCCAGUGGGUGUUCAGAUCAGCUGUGAAGCUCUUCUGUCGAGUCCUGCGAGUCCAGUGGAUGUGACUCCGGAGGAGGCGCUGCGGUACCGCCCCGAGCUCCAGAGGUCGCACACGCCGCCGCUGAUGUUCAUGGAGCUGUUUGUAUCUGAGGCGUAUGAGAGGAGAUCUGUGGGUCCGUGUGUCCUCACAGCACACGAGCGUCUCUACGUUCAGAUCUCAGUGGUGUCUGGUGCUGGAGAGGCUGUGGAGCUUCAGUCGUGUUGGGUUUCGCCUCUAUCAGACCCGCAUGCUCAUAGCGACUGGUACAUCAUCAGACACUCCUGCCCACACGACCCGUCUCUCACACUGACAGACAGACAGACGCCUCACAGACACCACACAAGAGGACGAGCUGAAGAAGAGAGACGUGAACCAGGGAAUGAAGACAACACAACACAGAACGAUGACAGCAAUGAGAGACGUCUGCUGUCGCACUGGAGAGUGAGACGGUUUAUAGACGUGAGGAGACCUGAAGAACGCAGGAGACGGACGAGAGAAACGAGGGAGAGUGAAGGAGAAAAUACACACACGCUGCGUUUCAGUUUCAUCCUCAGGCCUGUGUUUAAUAACUCCAUUCAGUUUCUGCACUGCAGUGUGCGUCUGUGUGUGUCAGGAGAACAAACACACGAAGAGUCCUCGACAAACAGAGACUGUGAUCAUGGGCCCCGGAUACCUGCUCUCACACACACACCUGCAUCACAACAGUGUGAGCACAGAAAUCUCUCUCGGCCUGUGUUAGUCACAUCUCCUGUGGAGUUUUUGGCUCCUCCUGCUGGUAAACGUUCUCAGAAGCCAGCUGAGAUGUCGAGACAGACUCCCUCACAGAACGAAGCAGACACGGGUGCAGUGCUGACGGUUGUGUUUAUUGGGUUUGUGAUGGGUUUGGGUCUGAUGGGGGCGCUCUGGUGUAUCUACACUCACACUGUAACCUGCAUCACUGCUGUUGUUGGUUGCCAGGGAGACGCAGAGAAAUGCCACAGGAAGACGGUUGCCUAUAGACCAUCGAACCGAAUGUGACCCUCAGAAACCUGACAUCACCGCUGGAGGUGAAAUAAACACACAAUGUCAUUUGUGUGUCGGCAUGAAUCAACAACAAACAAUGAGACAAUGUGUGUUUUACGUGUGUAGUUUUAUUCACUGUUAAUGUAACGACAGAAAUAAUCUUAGUGUCUGAUUGAUUUGUAUAUAUGAGUUUGCCAUUGACAGAGUUGGGUAGAUUAUUUAUGAUUACAGAUUACAUGACAAAAUUCGUAGUUAGUAAUGUAAUCUCUUACAUGACACUUUUUGGUAACGUAAUCGGACUACUUUUGGAUUACAUUUAGAUUACUUUCGACUUAAAUCUCAUUUGAUGUUACAUAUAUUGAAGCAGGGUAAUUUUAUACUAUUUUGACAGAUACAACGGACAAAACACUACAUUUACAUUUACAUUCACAUUUACAUUUAUGCAUUUGGAAGACGCUUGUAUCCAAAGCGACCUGCAUUGCAUUAUGCUAUACAUUUUACACUAACACUCAUAUAACUUGUUGUCAGUGUUUACUGAUAGUUUUCCCAUGACUUUCCUUAGGCAUGAAAGGUUGUCUAUUAGGGGUGUGACAAGAUCUCGUUCCACAAGAUCUAGCAAGAUUAAAAUGUGAAAGAUUUCUUGUCAAGGUCUUGAGAUAUCAGCAUGAUGGAGUUUGAUUGUAUGACACGAGAAAGGAGGAUUGAUUCUAAAUUUUAAUGUCCCUUCUCCAGGGACGGAUUAUGACUUCAAAGGGCCCCGGGGCCAGUUACCUCCAAAGGCCCCUUCCCACAAUUUUUCAGCUCUUUCCUUAGCUGCGCAUUCACAGUUAUAGAAAGUGAAAGUUAAGAUGAUCAUGAAUAUUAAAACCGUUCUCGCUCUGCAUCAGAUGCCUGCGCUAUGCUAAAAAUAAUCUGUACAGGGUUUAUAGAAGUCUAAUAUUAGAUACACAGUGAAAAAUCAAGAAUGGACCAAAUUAAGGCGUAUGAAGCACACGUCUUUAAUUAACUGUCAAAUAUACACGUAUUUAAUGCAUCACAUAAAUAAAAAAUGAUUUCUCAGCAUAAAAUGCCCCUGUGACACAUGUCUGUAAACAUCAAAUCAUCAAGCAAAAGAUUAAGAAAAUGCAAUUUAAAUAUGCAGUAAUUUAGUUAAUAAGAUAAAUUUAAUUUAAAAGCAUAUGUUGCCAUGAUUUGUUGACCAUUUCAUAUUUUACAGGGUAUCCACAGAGGCCUUAUAGUCUAUGGGACCCAUAUAUUAAACUUGGAUAAACAUUUGUUUUCAUUGUUGUUGGGUUCUCUGUACCAAACUGGAUGGCACAACCUUGAAGCCCAGGGCCCCAUCCGGCUCAUGGUAGUCAAGGGCCCCUGGGCACUGGCCCCUUGGCCCGGGUCAGUAAUCCAUCCCUGCCUUUAGAGAGUAGGAAACAUGGAACUCGUCUGAUGUUUCAGAUGCGCCUAAUGCAGUUUGAACUGUAGAUCAUAAUGUUGUAAACAACUUUCAGUUUCUUGCACAGUUCGCUAAAUAAGACGGGGUGUCCAAAGUCGGUCCUGGAGGGCCGGUGUCCUGCAGAGUUUAGCUCCAACUUGGCUCAACACACUUGUCUGGGAGUUUCAAGUCUGCCUAGUUAGUAAGAUCUUGAUUAACUUGUUCAGGUGUGUUUGAUUAGGAUUGAAGCGCAAUUCUGCAGGACACCGGCCCUCCAGGACUGACCCCCUAUAUCGUCAUGAGGCAUAGUUUUAUGUGGCCUGUAUCUGUAUUUUGAACUUGAGAAACAUGGAACCUGUGGACUUGCAUUUUAUGAAUGACCAUGCAUGGACCACAGCCAACUCCUCUACAGACAUGUCCACAUGAUAAUCCAACGAAAUCUUGGCUAAAACAUUUGAAGUUUUUUGCAUGCAGUAUUUAUGGUAUUUCUUUCUUAAUUCCUGCUUACUGGAACCUAGUAAACAUGAUUGAACAGAACUUGAAUUAAAUGGAAAGUUUAAAUGGAAAACUGACCCCCUCAUAGUGGAUUUAUUGAUUGAUAGAUAUAGUUUACUUUAUAUAAUUCUUCUGUAAUCAUUGCAGAGGAAACUUUUAAUAAACUGCAAAACUUGUAUAAUCAGCUUCUGCUUUAAGUGUUCAAAUGCUUUAAAUAAGUGACCUGUCCAAGACAUUUAAGGCUCAGUUUUAGGCCCUUGCACACACAGCUGUUUGUUUGCAGUGCACUGGAGAUGUUAAUUUUUUGUUUUUAAACGGCAAUUUGUGUUUUAAAUAAAUACAUAAAACAGGAAUUUAUGUAAGUUAUAAGUUACUUUUAUAAAAAUGUCCUAGUCAAAACAUUACUGGUGUGCAUCCUGAGAGGAAACAGUGGCACUGACAUAUUUUAAGAUGUUAUUUACAGUUAAGACAGCUCAAACAUUCAUUUUAGUCUGGGAAUACAUAAAUGAACAACCACGAUCUUGUGUUUUGUGUCUGUACACAGUUAAGUUGGAGGAGAUCAUACUGAAAGUGUGUUUAAAUGAUGGGAUGGAUUUUUUUCUUAUGAGCUUUACAUCACCGUGGUCAACUUAUUUUGGCUUAUAUUGAGUGCGCGUGUAUUAUGAUUAUUACGGCAAUAUCAAGUCAACGGAAGAGUUCGCGGCACUAUCACGGUGUUUAUGGUAAUAUCAGCAAUGAGAAGCUACUAGCUAGGCUAACAAAAGCGGACGUUUUCCCGGCAUUGUUUGAGGUCUGUUCCAUCAUACCACACAGUGAUGUUCAGUGAAGCCAUGAAUGAAGUUGAGGAGAAACAUCAGUGUCAGAAACCUCAGAAUCUUGUAAAGCUGGAAAUGUCUUCUAGUAGUUUGCAGAAGAACAAGAUUUUCUCUCCAAAAAGAAAACAAAGAACUG